rnacentral:rRNA from 1 species
GACGAACGCUGGCGGCGUGCCUAAUACAUGCAAGUAGAACGCUGAAGAGAGGAGCUUGCUCUUCUUGGAUGAGUUGCGAACGGGUGAGUAACGCGUAGGUAACCUGCCUGGUAGCGGGGGAUAACUAUUGGAAACGAUAGCUAAUACCGCAUAAAAUUGAUUAUUGCGUGAUGAUUAAUUGAAAGAUGCAACUGCAUCACUACCAGAUGGACCUGCGUUGUAUUAGCUAGUUGGUGAGGUAACGGCUCACCAAGGCGACGAUACAUAGCCGACCUGAGAGGGUGAUCGGCCACACUGGGACUGAGACACGGCCCAGACUCCUACGGGAGGCAGCAGUAGGGAAUCUUCGGCAAUGGGGGGAACCCUGACCGAGCAACGCCGCGUGAGUGAAGAAGGUUUUCGGAUCGUAAAGCUCUGUUGUAAGAGAAGAACGGGUGUGAGAGUGGAAAGUUCACACUGUGACGGUAUCUUACCAGAAAGGGACGGCUAACUACGUG